CAGCCGCCGCGGUAAUACGGAGGGGGCUAGCGUUGUUCGGAAUUACCGGGCGUAAAGCGCACGUAGGCGGCUUGGUAAGUUAGAGGUGAAAGCCUGGAGCUCAGCUCCAGAAUUGCCUUUAAGACUGCCGAGCUAGCAGGUGAGAGAGGUAAGUGGAAUUCCGAGUGUAGGGGUGAAAUUCGUAGAUAUUCGGAAGAACACCAGUGGCGAAGGCGGCUUACUGGCUCAUACUGGACGCUGAGGUGCGAAAGCGUGGGGAGCAAACAGGAUUAGAUACCCGGUAGUCCCUGUCUCUUAUACA
rnacentral:rRNA from 1 species